AUUUCAGGGUUCAUGGAAAAGGAGAUGGGUGACGGAGGUUCACUAUAUGGCGGCAAUACAACAUGCUCUAUGGCUACACAGAAGGUAGCACGCACAGUCGAUGCUUUCGUCGGUGAGAUCGCCACUGAUGAGGAACUUGGGGUAUCGAAGUUUGCCGGCAUCACCGGGGCACUACCAAAGUCCGUCAGGCGGUUUGACGACGACAUCUACCGUGCUGUCGACAUCUACCUCAAGAUUCAUCCGGAACUUGACGAGAUUGAGCGGGAAAAAGUGUGCAGUGUUAUGGACCCGCUGAAACUCUCUUACGAGGCUCGACUCCACGCCUCACAAAACAAACGCCUGCCAUUACAAGUUGUGUUACACGCACUGUACUAUGACCAACUCAAAG
rnacentral:misc_RNA from 1 species